GAAUAGCAGGCUCUGGAUUCAGACUACAUGGGAUGAAAUUCUUGCAUCACAAAUUACUACCUAUGAGAUCUUAAGCCAGUUUCUUAAACUUUCUAAGCUUCAGUUUCCUCAUCUGAAGAGAAAAGGAACAGAAAUAAUGGUUAUGUAUAUUUCCCAGGCUUGCUGUGAAAAUUACAGGAGAAAAUCCAUAUACAACACCUUGUGUUCUUUCCUUUUCUUCUUCCCCUUCCCUCCUCCUCUUUUUCUCUUUUCCCUCCUCCCCAACCUUCCUUGCCUUCUCUCUACUCUGCCCACCACCUCCCUUUCCCACCACUUUCCUCACUUCUCUCUCUUUCUCUCAUACUCUGUUGUACAGCUUGGGUACAACAGACUCUGAAAGAGGUCAGUAGCCAGAUCUUGGGUAGAAUAUUUUCCCUUCCACUUCCUCUACCUCCCACCAUGGCCUGUGAGACAAGCCCAGAGGCCCCAUGUACACAAUACCAGUACACUUUACCAGGUUCCACAGCUAGCAGAAGAGGACCCCAAAUGAGUGGAGCUGCAUGGAACAGAGUACAAGGCUGCAAUCAUAGCUCGUUGCAAUCUUCAACUCCUCGGUUUAAACGAUACUCCUUCCUCAGCCUCUGGAGUAGCUGGGACUACAGAGCAUGGCUUCAUUGAGCUGAGACCCAAGCUUCUCUGACAAACUGUUGAGGAAACUGGAAAUGAUCAACUAAAGAAUAUAGAUCACUGAGUCUGAUGUUGUACAAAACUCAUAAUACCUGACUGGGAAAAAACAAACAAACAACAAAAAAAACAAUGUCUGAAAAAAGUUCCAGGAGGAGGCUAUGGCUCUGGCUGCCACCACCGGUUGAGCUGGUCAGCAGGAAGCUUGACGUGCCAGAAAAACAAGGGAGGGAACAAGAAAGGCAUUUUUCCAACUUAUCCAGAUGCCUCGGAACCUAGAGUUGAUUGGCUGAAGAGAACUGAUUUGAAUGAGUCUAUCUUUACUGGUCUACAUUAGAUACGGUAGGCUACAUGAUGCUAUAACAAACAAACUCCCAAAUCUCAGUGGCUUAACAUGGUAAAAGUUUAUUCUUCUGCUUACACAAAGUCCAUUGUGUGCUCAAAGGGUAACUUCUGUGGGACUCUCCUUCAAUCCCAUAGAUUCAGGGAUCCAGCUCCUUCCCUCAAGGGCCUCGGCUCUUCCCUGGGCUUUCUCUGCAGUCCCUCUGGUGGGAUAAACAAAGAGGGAGGAUUAAUUGGCAUGUUUUGGAGCCAGGCCUAGGAGUGGCAGUCUUUGCUUCUGUCACAUUUUGUUGUCCAGAACUUAGUCACAUGGGAAGCUGUUUACCCUGGAGGAGGAAACAAUCUGUGUGAACAUAUAGCCAUCCUGAUACACCACCUAUUGACUGUCUGAGCAGAGAAGGGAGAAUUAUGUCAACAUGUUCCUCUCCCCCUCCCUCCCUUUCUCCCUCUCUCUCCCUUAAUCUUAAUUUUAAAUUUAAUUUUAAUUAUUUUCUUGUCCCUUAAUUUUUUUUUUUCUGUCAUGCUGAUUAUGACUGGCCAACCACAAAAACAGUGAGCCCAACUGAUAAUAAGCUGGUAGCCUGGCUUUUCCUGAGGUUGGUCUUUACAUAUCAGGGAAGAAGCAUGAAGGUCUCAUGCAUCUUGGAGCACAAGAGCAAAUUUGUCUGUAAUUAGCCUAUGGCUAAUUUCUCACUUCUAGUGAUGGAGCUGUUAUCAAAGAACUCCCAUCCUUCUCCUUAGUUAAGUCUAAACUCCUAAGAGCACAUAGACUGAUAUAAGAUGUAUGCAAACCAGUCCAAUUAAAUAUUCACAUAGGUUCCUUUACUUGAUUUCUUCCAUUUUCAUGACUGAAACAAAUAAUUUAGUUUGCUAAUUCUUUGCACUUUCAAAGUAGCUUCGAUCAGAGGACCUAAUGGUAGUUUACAAAUAGUUAAGUCAUUACAGUCAUUCUAAUGAGUUUUUGAAGUAGUUGAGCCAAACAUCAAAUUUCUUUAUCUUAUAGGGGAGACACUGAAUCACAGAAGAGUUAAGAAAUUUGUUCACAUUCACUGUCACAAAUAAUUAUUAUUGCCAGAAGUUCCUAGGGCUUUUAAUCAUAAUUUCACAAUCUUAUCAGCUAUAAGCUAAUAGUUGAUGAGACCAAAUCAGAAUUUGCAUUUAACCCUCCUACAUUACUCCUGAAAAAAUUAAAGUAUAUUUACGUUUCAUGUAUUUUAAAAUAUGCAUUUUUGAAUCAUUACCACUAAAAUUAAAGGUCCUUUGUCCUAAUUCAGAAAUGAUUGGAACAUAUAUUUAAAGAGAUUACUCUAUCCAAGACAAGGUUUGAAAGUUACUAGGUUAUGUUAGAUGUCCAAGGAAGUGGGACCUCCCAGUUUGUGAAUCUGCUUCAUGGGGAGUGUUUGUUCCUACGAAACAAGCCUAAACAAUAUGCCUGACCUAUGAAUGCAGUUAACAGAGUAUCAGUGCAAGGUGGUGUUCUUAACACAAACAGCUUAUAUGGGCAGGCAAUGAUAUACUAGCCAAGUAGGUGAAAAAUGACUUUUUAAUGCACCCUAUAUAGAAUUGUUAUGUAAUAAAGAUAGACUGUCAAGUGGGCUUAAAGUGACAUUUUGUGGGAGGGUUUAUUGGCCAGAUGCAGUGAAUCUGAGAUCAAUUAAUUUUGCUUUGAAGUUUGUUCUUGAUCCAGAUCUUCAAUAAGAAGGUAGUUUCCAAGUCACUGGUCUGUGAACACUGCUUGUGAUUAAUUACCCUUUUAUAAUCUUAGGAAUUCUGUUCUUUGCUAUAUUUUGAAUAACUCAGACUCCAUGGGGAGUUGUAUUUUGGCUGGUAUAUUUGGAACUGCUAAUAAACACCUACUUCCUGUUUUUCUUACUACUGUGUAUAGCAAAUUGUAAAAUUACUUGUAUUGCCAUCUCUGUUUCUUGUGUGUUUAACCAGCUCUGAUUUAUGUUGUGGGAUAAUCUGCAUCAAAGAGUCUUUGCCAAAAAAUUUCUCAUAGCUUCAAAAUGUAAGAUACUGUAUCUUACUAUUGCAAUGUAAACUUGAAUAAUGAUAGAGAAAAUAUUCCAUUUCAUCAGCACAGAAAAAUUAGAAUUUUAGUAUCUUGAGCCACAAAUAACUCUUGGAAAGAAGUUUAGUGUAUUUUUAUUUUUUUACAUAUGUUUCUAAGAUCAUUAAUUUUAUUCUUUUAUGGAGACAUGUGAUGGAAUAGAAAAGAUGUUUCUGUUUUCCUUUUAGUGUAAAUUUUCUUGCUUAAGUCUAAACAGUAUAUUAAACCAGUAAUAAGUAUUGGUUACUCAUAAAAAAUUUUUAAUUUGAAAAACA